UUAUUUUCUUUAAAUUCAAAGAAUUUGGCGGUGAUUUAGUCUGGUCAGAGGAACCUGUUUUUUAAUCGAUACAACACGUAAAAACUUACUUAUUUUGUUUUAGUUUGUAUACCAUCAUUAUCAGAUAAUUUUAUAAAAAAUAAAUUAUUAAAAAUAAUUAUAUUAGUUAAAUUAGAUCAAGGUGCAGCUUAUAGAUAAGUUAAAAUGGGUUACAAUAAGAUUUACUUACACGAAAUAAGAUUAGUUAUGGAUCUUAGGAAGGAGGAUUUGAUUGUAAUAUAAAUUUAAUAAGUUUAGGUGAUAAAAGCUCUGAAUUGUGUACACAUCGCCCGUCACUCUND
rnacentral:rRNA from 1 species